rnacentral:rRNA from 1 species
UACGGAAGGGGCAAGCGUUGUUCGGAAUCAUUGGGCGUAAAGGGCGCGUAGGUGGUUCUGUAUGUCUAUCGUGAAAGCAUACAGCUCAACUGUAUUUUGUCGGUAGAAACUGCAGGACUUGAGGCUGGGAGGGGCUGGUGGAAUUCCCUGUGUAGCGGUGAAAUGCGUAGAUAUCAGGAGGAACACCGGUGGCGAAGGCGGUUCUCUGGGCAUGUCCUGACGCUGAGGAGCGAAAGUGUGGGGAGCGAACAGG